AUUGAACGCUGGCGGCAUGCCUUACACAUGCAAGUCGAACGGUAACGGGCCUUCGGGUGCCGACGAGUGGCGAACGGGUGAGUAAUGUAUCGGAACGUACCUUUCAGUGGGGGAUAACGUAGCGAAAGUUACGCUAAUACCGCAUAUUCUGUGCGGAGGAAAGCAGGGGAUCGCAAGACCUUGUGCUGAUUGAGCGGCCGAUAUAAGAUUAGCUAGUUGGUGAGGUAAAGGCUCACCAAGGCGACGAUCUGUAGCGGGUCUGAGAGGAUGAUCCGCCACACUGGAACUGAGACACGGUCCAGACUCCUACGGGAGGCAGCAGUGGGGAAUUUUGGACAAUGGGGGCAACCCUGAUCCAGCCAUGCCGCGUGAGUGAAGAAGGCCUUCGGGUUGUAAAGCUCUUUCGGCCGGGAAGAAAUCGUAUCAGCUAAUACCUGGUGCGGAUGACGGUACCGGCAUAAGAAGCACCGGCUAACUACGUGCCAGCCGCCGCGGUAAGAC
rnacentral:rRNA from 1 species